GACGAACGCUGGCGGCGCGCUUAACACAUGCAAGUCGAACGGAAAGGCCUGCUUUCCCUUGUGGAUUGCGGGUACUCGAGUGGCGAACGGGUGAGUAACACGUGAGUGAUCUGCCCCCAACUUGGGUAUAAGCCUGGGAAACUGGGUCUAAUUCCCGAUAGGACUGCAGGGUGGUGCCUGUGGUGGAAAACGAUUUUCUAGUGGUUGGGGAUGAGCUCGCGGGCUAUCAGCUUGUUGGUGGGGUAAUGGCCUACCAAGGGGGGGACGGGUAGCCGGCCCGGGAGAGUGGACGGGCACAGUGGGACGGAGACACGGCCCAGGAUCCUACGGCAGGAAGCAGUGGGGAAGAUUGCGCGAUGGGCGGAAGCCUGAUGCAGCGACGCCGCGGGGGGGAUGACGGCCUUCGGGUUGUAAACUCCUUUCGGCCGAGAGGAAGCCACCUGGUUGGAAGGGUGGUGACGGUAGCGGUAGAAGAAGCACCGGCUAACUACGUG
rnacentral:rRNA from 1 species